rnacentral:rRNA from 1 species
CCUACGGGUGGCAGCAGUGAGGAAUAUUGGUCAAUGGGCGUAAGCCUGAACCAGCCAAGUCGCGUGAGGGAUGAAGGUUCUAUGGAUCGUAAACCUCUUUUAUAAGGGAAUAAAGUGUGGGACGUGUCCUAUUUUGUAUGUACCUUAUGAAUAAGGAUCGGCUAACUCCGUGCCAGCAGCCGCGGUAAUACGGAGGGUCCGAGCGUUUCCCGGAUUUAUUGGGUUUAAAGGGUGCGUAGGCGGCCUUUUAAGUCAGCGGUGAAAGACUGUGGCUCAACCAUAGAAUUGCCGUUGAAACUGGGGGGCUUGAGUAUGUUUGAGGCAGGCGGAAUGCGUGGUGUAGCGGUGAAAGGCUUAGAUAUCACGCAGAACUCCGAUUGCGAAGGCAGCCUGCCAAGCCAUGACUGACGCUGAUGCACGAAAGCGUGGGGAUCAAACAGGAUUAGAUACCCGAGUAGUC